GAUGAACGCUAGCGGGAGGCUUAACACAUGCAAGCCGAGGGGCAGCACGAGGUAGCAAUACUUUGGUGGCGACCGGCGCACGGGUGAGUAACGCGUAUGCAACCUACCCUGUACAGGGGGAUAACCCGGAGAAAUUCGGACUAAUACCCCAUAAAGAUAUUUGGAGGCAUCUUUGAAUAUUUAAAGUUCCGGCGGUACGGGAUGGGCAUGCGUAACAUUAGCUAGUUGGUAAGGUAACGGCUUACCAAGGAAAAGAUGUUUAGGGGUCCUGAGUGGGUUAUCCCCCAAACUGGUACUGAGACACGGACCAGACUCCUACGGGAGGCAGCAGUGAGGAAUAUUGGUCAAUGGGCGCAAGCUUGAACCAGCCAGCCCGCGUGAAGGAAGAAUGCGCUAUGCGUUGUAAACUUCUUUUCCAGGGGAAUAAAAUUUUGUACGUGUACGGAAUUGAAGGUACCCUGGGAAUAAGCAUCGGCUAACUCCGUGCCAGCAGCCGCCGUAAAAC
rnacentral:rRNA from 1 species